UACGUAGGGUGCAAGCGUUGUCCGGAUUUAUUGGGCGUAAAGAGCUCGUAGGCGGUUUGUCGCGUCGGAUGUGAAAACCCAGGGCUCAACCCUGGGCCUGCAUUCGAUACGGGCAAACUAGAGUAUGGCAGGGGAGACUGGAAUUCCUGGUGUAGCGGUGAAAUGCGCAGAUAUCAGGAGGAACACCGGUGGCGAAGGCGGUUCUCUGGGCAUUACCUGACGCUGAGGAGCGAAAGUGUGGGGAGCGAACAGG
rnacentral:rRNA from 1 species